rnacentral:SRP_RNA from 2 species
GCCAGGCGUGGUGGUGCCCGCCUGUAAUCCCAGCUACUCAGAGGCUGAGGCAGGAGAAUCACUUGAACCCGGGAGGCGGAGAUUGCAGUGAGUCAAGAUCGCGCAUUGCGCCACUGCACUCCAGCCUGGGUGACAGAGUGAGACUCUGUCUCAA